rnacentral:rRNA from 1 species
AACGUAGGACGCAAGCGUUAUUCGGAAUUACUGGGCUUAAAGGGUGCGUAGGCGGCGCGGAAAGUAGGGUGUGAAAUCCCUCGGCUCAACCGAGGAACUGCGCCCUAAACUACCGUGCUCGAGGGAGGUAGAGGUGAGCGGAACUGAGGGUGGAGCGGUGAAAUGCGUUGAUAUCCUCAGGAACACCGGUGGCGAAAGCGGCUCACUGGACCUCUUCUGACGCUGAGGCACGAAAGCUAGGGUAGCGAACGGG